GUUGUCUGUACCCAAAGUCACUUAGCCAACCUGCAAAGGAGGCGAGUGCCUAAGGUAUGGGGGAUGAUUGGGGUGAAGUCGUAACAAGGUAGCUGUAGGUGAACCUGCAGAAGGAUCA
rnacentral:rRNA from 1 species